AGAGUUUGAUCAUGGCUCAGAUUAAACGCUGGCGGCAUGCCUUACACAUGCAAGUCGAACGGCAGCGACGGGGGCAACCCUGGUGGCGAGUGGCGAACGGGUGAGUAAAGCAUCGGAACGUGCCCUGGAGUGGGGGAUAACGUAGCGAAAGUUACGCUAAUACCGCAUAUUCUGUGAGCAGGAAAGCAGGGGGAUCGCAAGACCUUGCGCUCUGGGAGCGGCCGAUGUCGGAUUAGCUAGUUGGUGGGGUAAAGGCCUACCAAGGCGACGAUCCGUAGCGGGUCUGAGAGGAUGAUCCGCCACACUGGGACUGAGACACGGCCCAGACUCCUACGGGAGGCAGCAGGUGGGGAAUAUUGCGCAAUGGGGGAAACCCUGACGCAGCCACGCCGCGUGAGUGAUGAAGGCCUUCGGGUUGUAAACUGCUUUUGUACGGAACGAAAAGCUUCGGGCUAAUACCCUGAAGUCAUGACGGUACCGUAAGAAUAAGCACCGGCUAACUACGUG
rnacentral:rRNA from 1 species